AUGCUGAGGAGCCUUAACCAAGCAUCCUUCUCACUCUGCCCUCCUGUCCUCAGAAGACUGCUGUCAGAGGAUGUAGGGAUGGAUAUCCGCUUUGAGGAGGGAAUGCUGAGUCCCACUGAUGCAGACAUGAGGCCGGAACCUCCUAAUUCUCUGGAUCUUGACAGCACUCAUCCUCGGAGAAUCAAACUCACAGCCCCAAAUAUCAAUCUGUCUCUGGAUCAAAGUGAAGGGUCUGUUCUCUCUGAUGAUAACUUGGACAGUCCAGAUGAGAUUGAUAUCAAUGUGGAUGAACUUGAGACUCCCGAUGAAGCAGAUUCUUUUGAGUACACUGGCCAUGAGGAUUCCACAGGCAACAAAGAUUCUGGCCAAGAGUCGGAGUCUAUUCCAGAAUAUACGGCGGAAGAGGAGCGGGAGGACAACCGGCUGUGGAGGACCGUGGUGAUUGGAGAACAGGAGCAGCGGAUUGACAUGAAGGUCAUCGAGCCCUACAGGAGAGUCAUUUCUCACGGAGGAUACUAUGGGGACGGCCUAAAUGCCAUCAUUGUGUUUGCCGCCUGCUUUCUGCCAGACAGCAGUCGGGCCGACUACCACUAUGUCAUGGAAAAUCUUUUCCUAUACGUAAUAAGUACUUUAGAGUUGAUGGUAGCUGAAGACUAUAUGAUUGUGUACUUGAAUGGUGCGACCCCAAGACGGAAGAUGCCAGGGCUAGGCUGGAUGAAGAAAUGUUACCAGAUGAUUGACAGACGGUUGAGGAAGAAUUUAAAAUCAUUCAUCAUUGUUCAUCCAUCUUGGUUCAUCAGAACAAUCCUUGCAGUUACACGACCUUUUAUAAGUUCCAAAUUCAGUAGUAAAAUUAAAUACGUCAGUAGUUUAGCAGAACUCAGUGGACUGAUCCCAAUGGAUUGCAUCCAUAUUCCAGAGAGCAUCAUCAAACUGGAUGAAGAUCUGAGGGAAGCAUCUGAAGCAGCUAAAACUAGCUGCCUUUACAAUGAUCCAGAAAUGUCUUCUAUGGAGAAGGAUAUUAAUCUGAAGCUGAAAGAAAAGCCCUAGUUGGCCACAUCUGGACGAAGGGGCUGCUUUUCUGCUUCGUGGUUCUGUUGAGACCUACCUACCUGGAAGAGACAGCACUGAUGGUACUCUGUUUCCAGUUUGCACUACCUGCUGCCACUCUAAAUUUCUAAGGGGGAAAAACAGUAAGAGAAUCUGUUUACUCUUAACAUGUUUUAUGGAAUUAUGUGUAUUUUCCUAUUUUGCCAAUUAUGUGCCUCAAAGAUUUUAGUUGAACCUUAGCAAGAAAGUAGGACCUUCCAUUUCAAUAUUUCAUUAACCCUUGGUAUAGUGGUAUUUCGUCUCUUUGUUGACUGCUGUUGACCACGGAGGUAACUUCAGUCCACUAUUCAUUAUGAGUGGAUUUCUCCUUGGUGAUCACUUCAAGUUUAAAAUACACAGGACUCAACCGUCCCUGGGAAAGUUGGCCCCACAUAAACGCCACCUUUCAAACCCUGAGCUUGCUUAAGAUAGCCAUAACGCAGACACAGGUGUGACACCACGUCAGUUAAGCAUCCACUUGGUUCUUGUCCACAUUUAUUCUAACAUCUCCAAAGGAAGCCAGGUUUCCUAAUUCACACCAAUUUCAUUUUAGUUAUCAAAAUGGGCAUUGUGUGUUCUGUGAAUUUGGUCUUUUAAAAAAGUCAUUUCUUCAGGGAAUGUUGAAGACCUCCAAACUGAGAAACUUAAGGAUCAAUGUUCACAUUUCUGGUAGCUGUCUUUGAUUCAAGCCAUGAACUUAGUUCAAGAUGUUGCACUUUAAGUGCUAAGGGCACUGUGGAAGGCAGCCCCUCAGAAAUUCAUUUUUUGGUAACAUUGAGUUAUCUGAAUCUCUCUCACAUGCAUUAUCAAAAUAAUCUGCUUUAACACACUCACAGGCUUAAAAUUAAAUAUGAGUAUGUACUAUCCUUUGCAAAAUAGUUCUUUAUAGUCUCCAUGUGUUUUUUAAAAUACCAGCAUGGUUUAGAACCCAUGGGCCUCUAGAGGAGGGAGGGGUUGGUAA
rnacentral:lncRNA from 1 species